rnacentral:lncRNA from 1 species
AAAGUGGCCAAAGAACUCGUGUCCCACGCUCCUGAACGCCAUCAGCCCCCGCACCUCCAUCAUUCCUCCUCCCACGAGUCUCCUGCUCCCCGUGACUUUGGCCUUCUCUCGGUGCUGCUGAGGCACAUCAGGAAGUGCUGGAGGACGUGGCACUGCGCCAGCACUGGGCGGCCGGCCGUGUAGCUCAUCCCGCAGAUCGUGCUCUACCUGUGCUUGGAGAUGAAGUCCUCCUGGAAGCAGCUCGUGGCCCACUUCUCAGGCAUCAUCACUUCAUCACUGCCCUGACUGUCCUGGUUGCCACGAAAGAGCUGCUGAGGCCACGGCUGUCGGGCACGCCUGCCGUCUGAAGCCUGCACCGGCUGCUGAAAGGGUCAGGCUAGGGGACAUGCGAUGAGGAAGCAUUACUGUCUGGGUUUCAUCUGCCUGUCUGAGGGUGACGAGGACGGCUAGGAGCACAGUCAGCCACCAGGAGGCAGGAGGACCCUCAGGGAGUCCCAGGCUCCUGCAUGACCCACAGCAGGCAACAUCCUAGAGGCUCCAAACGAGCUGGGGACACAAGGAAGGCUCCUUGCCUGGAAGCUGAGAUCACCUAGCCAGGGUGACCAUCCCCAGGCCUGGCUGUGUGAGUCCCCAUGGGCAGCUGUCCACCU